AUGGCUGCAAUGACAGGAGUGGGCCAGGGAUGCCAGUGUCUCUAUGUCCUCUCCAACACUGUCCCAUGCCAGGGAGGCCGUGGCCCAAGGAACCCAAGCAGCUCUUCCCACAUCGUCCUGAGGAUGCCUUUGCCUACAUGCUCCACAGCUGCAGCCUCCGGAGGAUUCUCUGUGACCCCUCGGCAGCUGGGACGAUGGAUGGCAGGAUGGCGUCUUAGCUGGGAGGCUUACACUGCACACUUCCAUUUCUCCCAGUCUGGGAGGCUGGAGUCCAAGGUCAAGGGACCAGCAGAUCUGGCAUCUGGUGAGUGCCACUUCCUGGUUUGCUGCCAGCUGAUUUCUGGAAGGGCCCUACCCUCGUGGCACUAUCAGCCCAAGGCUCCCUCCCAAGACCAUCACCUUGGACUAGGGUUUCAACAGAGGAAUCUAGUGAGGGAGAGGCUGGAAUACUCACCUCAUUGCAGGUGGGCACCUGGGGCGGGGGAUGGAGCAUGUGUUGAUUGGGGCACUGGUGGGUGGGGGAGUUCAGAUGCCAUGGCUGAUGUGACGUGGUGGAACCGGGCCUUCCUACUGGGUGCAGCCACUCUAAUUUCCCCAGUAAUGCACUGUGACUGUCACCAUCAAGGUGUUGUAAAGCAAGCAGCCAAGUUACAAGUGAGAAGCUGAGGCUCUGAGGGCCAGGGUGGGUCCCCAGUCUCCACGCUCAGCCCUGGGCAGCCCCUAGUCACGGCUCUCUGCCCUGGAGUCCCAGUGCUGGCCUCUCUCUCAGUGAUGCUCUGUCUUCUCCUAAACAUAGGGCAGCACCUUGGACACUCUGUGGCCAAUUAUCUGGGAGGGCCCAUGGCUUUGAGAGCAAUGUGGGGCUGCAGGGCCUGGGGGUGUGGUCUAUGUGGAGCCAGGGUUCUGCUGGAGGCAGCUCCCUGGAUCUCCUCCUCCCAGGCACAAAGACCGCCACAGGCAGGAACUCUGUGGGUCUGGAGGUGCUGUCUUUCCACCUGCAGGGGGAGUAGCAGCUGCCUCCCUGCCCCCAGCCCUUCCUGAGCCUGCUCUUCUGAUUCCUUCUACUCCAUUUGGACCUCGGCACCUUCCCAGGCCAGAGGAAGCCACAAUGUCCCUGUCUGUGGGGUGAGACUCUAUCUCCAACCUCCUUCUGUCCUCCCAGCCUGCCCUUGGCACAUGGCCUCACCUUUCCUCCUCAGUCAAGGGCAUCCAGGUUCAGGUGGUGUGGUGGAGCAGGUCCAGGGACCCAAUGUGGUUGAAGACCAGUUUGUAGAGGAUUUUUUUUUUUCCAUAGGUCCAGACGGGAUACCUGAAGACACCACAAACCCAUGUGAGAUGGGCCCCCCCCCCCCCCCCCCCCCGUGCCCAUGUGAGCUCUGCAGCAGACCUUGCUCCUGCCUUUGGAGCUGCCCAGAUGCAGCCCAAUCCUUCCUGGCUGGGCUCCUUCAAGAUCCCUUCUUUUGGGGGCAGUGUUGUGGUGCAGUGGGCCAAGCAGAUGGUUGCAACUCCAGCAUUGCAUACUUGAAUCCUGUUUGAGUCCUGGCUGCUGUGCUUCUGAUCCAGAUCCCUGCUAAUGCACAAGGGAGAGCAGCAGAAGAUGACCCAAGAACUUGUGCCCCUGCCAUCUACGGUGGGGUGGGUGGGGGAGCCCGGAAUGGAAUUCUAG
ensembl:lncRNA